rnacentral:rRNA from 1 species
GCCUAGCCCUAAAUCUUGAUACUUCCACCACUAAAGUAUCCGCCUGAGAACUACKAGCACAAACGCUUAAAACUCUAAGGACUUGGCGGUGCUCCAAACCCACCUAGAGGAGCCUGUCCUAUAAUCGAUAACCCACGAUAUACCUGACCACUUCUUGCCAACGCAGCCUACAUACCGCCGUCGCCAGCUCACCUCCCCUGAGAGAGCCACAGUGAGCAUAAUAGCCCACCACGCUAACAAGACAGGUCAAGGUAUAGCUUAUGAAGUGGAAGAGAUGGGCUACAUUUUCUAAAGUAGAAAACCCUACGAAAGAGGGCAUGAAACUGCCCCCGGAAGGCGGAUUUAGCAGUAAAGGGGGAUAAUAAAGCCCUCUUUAAGCUGGCUCUGGAGCACGU